rnacentral:rRNA from 1 species
UGGUGGAGUGAUUUGUCUGCUUAAUUGCGAUAACGAACGAGACCUUAACCUGCUAAAUAGCCAGGCAAGCUUCUGCUUGUCGCCGGCUUCUUAGAGGGACUAUCGGCUCAAGCCGAUGGAAGUUUGAGGCAAUAACA